UGGGGAAUUUUGCGCAAUGGGCGAAAGCCUGACGCAGCAACGCCGCGUGGAGGAUGAAGGUCUUCGGAUCGUAAACUCCUGUCAGUGGGGACGAAAGCUCCGAAAGGAGUUUGACUGUACCCGCUGAGGAAGCCACGGCUAACUCCGUGCCAGCAGCCGCGGUAAUACGGAGGUGGCAAGCGUUGUUCGGAAUUACUGGGCGUAAAGGGCGCGUAGGCGGCUUGGCAAGUCAGAUGUGAAAGCCCCGGGCUUAACCCGGGAAUUGCAUCUGAAACUGCUUUGCUUGAGUCCCGGAGGGGGUAGUGGAAUUCCCAGUGUAGCGGUGAAAUGCGUAGAUAUUGGGAGGAACACCUGUGGCGAAGGCGGCUACCUGGACGGUGACUGACGCUGAGGCGCGAAAGCUAGGGUAGCAAACGGGAUUAGAUACCCCGGUAGUCCUAGCCGUAAACGAUGAGCACUUGGUGUCGGGGGUAUUGAGUCCCCCGGUGCCGGAGUAAACACGUUAAGUGCUCCGCCUGGGGAGUACGGUCGCAAGACUG
rnacentral:rRNA from 1 species